rnacentral:lncRNA from 1 species
GGCCAGGAGGGUCCCCACAAUGGCAGCGCUUCUGCCUCCUUAGGGCUUUCUCCAGAGCCCAGUUCCCUGCUGUUCCCAAAUAUGCAGCCCUCUAUGGCCUCUGUUUGCACCACCUGCCCUAUCCUGGACCCUCUGAGCCUGUGAUCUCUGGGCAGGAAGGAGGGACUUCUGCUUCCUGCGCUGUAGCCCUAAGCCAGGAGAGACCCACGUCCAUGGCUUUGCUUGGAUCUUCCCCCAGGUACACGUGCUCUGGUCCUCUGAGUCUUUCCAUCACCACAGCCGCUAGCCACUUAGCAAACUCCUCUGUUCUUCAAGACCCAGCCUGAUCCCUCCUCCUUGGUGAAGCCCGCCAUGGCCCUCUUGUGCCCUGAAUAGUUAUUUGCCAUAUUAGGCCCCCUGGCCCGCUGCCUGGCUGUUGUUAUACUCUCGUCUGUCUGUCUCCUCUGUGAGGCCCCAGACUCCUGGAGGGCAAGGUCUCAUGGGCCCUGUCUAAUGCCAGAUAAGGGGUGGCUUAUUCAACUAAUGCUUGGUUGAUCAAAUGAAUGAAUGAUGAGAAAAGUCAUGAAGCCAGUGAAGAAUUGAGCAUGCGCGCGCUCGCGCGAGCGCGCGUGCACACACACGCACUCCCCAGCAAGAGCCCUCACAGAAGCCGUCCUUGCCUGUUUGGCUACAACUGUUCUCUCUCUGAGCCCCACCCGAGCCAGACAAGGCUUGGAGGGAGCCUUUGGGAAGAUGCAGCAUCCUGCCCAUUGACCUGGCUCCGGGGACAGUCAAAAGCCACCUCAACCUUGCUGAAUGCUGGCUCCCUGAUGCCAUCAAGGAACGCAAGCCCGAUGAGGAAGGCAGGCAGGAAACAUGGCACGCAGAACACGAGAAGGCUUCCUCCAGGAGGCGCAGAGCCCACGCUCUCACGUAACUGAGAGAACGGCUCGGGGUCCGAAUGGAAGGAGCAGCGUGUGAGACCCAGACGAGAUGUCCCUUCUACCUGCCAGCUCAAGACACGGAACAGGAGCCAGGCUGGAACCGGGUGCGAAAUAGGACACAGCCACGGGGCCGGGGCCCCCGAGGGACAAGGAGCCAAGCUGACCCUUGUAAAAGCUCAGACCCCAGCAUGGAGUCCCCUCAGAACGCCCCCGAUGCCACUUCAUGCCUUAGAGGUCACAGAGGCAAGUCCCUGAUGAGAGAGUGAGAGUGGGACAGGUAACUUGAUGAGACCGCCCUAUAUUUGUCACCAGGGCAGCAGAAUGGUGCUCGCCUCUGGAGGACCCCACCAGCUUUCCACAUCCUUAAGUUCUGCUGUGGCCAGGGAAGGGAUGUUUGUCGUCUCUGAAACGCAUGAGCUCCAGGGCUGGGACCCUUCAUCUGUAUCUGCCCGGCUCUCAGCCCAGCCCGGCUCUGGGAAUGCUUAUAAACUACAGUCGGUUCAUCCCGUGUAACUGAUGAAGGAGCUAAUGCGCCGGAAGGUGGCCUGGCCGACGGGCCUGGGGUUUGCGUGCACACGCCCAAGUUCCAGGUGGCUUGCACGUGCAACAGGCCGCCACAUACGUGCUCCCUCCUGCUUCUCAGUAGGCAGAAGCAUGCUGACCCACCUUCACGUGCCCCCAUGCCAGUGUGGUGCAAAACCAUCUUGCGGGACUCCCUCCCCCCAAGUUGUUCCCUUCGAAUCGACUCCCUCAGCAGCCCAUCCCCUGAAAUCUGUCGUUUGUUAGCGACAGUCCUACCAAGCAUUGCUCCCAGACCCAUUCUCCAUAAGACCAAGGUGUCGGGAAGGAGCUAGCUGAAGGCCCCGGGGGACCCUCCUCCACUUCACCCAGCAAGGUGCUGGGGGCUGUUCUGGAAUAGGAUUUAGCAUGUUUUGAACACUCAGGAAAUACUUCAACAGCAGGCUUCGUCGGGAUGGCCGUCCAAGUUGGUAUACUUUCU